rnacentral:rRNA from 1 species
GAUCGAAGCCCCGGUAAACGGCGGCCGUAACUAUAACGGUCCUAAGGUAGCGAAAUUCCUUGUCGGGUAAGUUCCGACCUGCACGAAUGGUGUAAUGAUGGCCAGGCUGUCUCCACCCGAGACUCAGUGAAAUUGAAAUCGCUGUGAAGAUGCAGUGUACCCGCGGCAAGACGGAAAGACCCCGUGAACCUUUACUACAGCUUGACACUGAACACUGGUCCUUGAUGUGUAGGAUAGGUGGGAGGCUUUGAAGCGUGGACGCCAGUCUGCGUGGAGCCGUCCUUGAAAUACCACCCUUUAAUGGCUGGUGUUCUAACGUAGGCCCGUUAUCCGGGCUGCGGACAGUGUCUGGUGGGUAGUUUGACUGGGGCGGUCUCCUCCCAAAGCGUAACGGAGGAGCACGAAGGUUGGCUAAUCCUGGUCGGACAUCAGGAGGUUAGUGCAAUGGCAUAAGCCAGCUUGACUGCGAGAGUGACGGCUCGAGCAGGUGCGAAAGCAGGUCAUAGUGAUCCGGUGGUUCUGAAUGGAAGGGCCAUCGCUCAACGGAUAAAAGGUACUCCGGGGAUAACAGGCUGAUACCGCCCAAGAGUUCAUAUCGACGGCGGUGUUUGGCACCUCGAUGUCGGCUCAUCACAUCCUGGGGCUGAAGCAGGUCCCAAGGGUACGGCUGUUCGCCGUUUAAAGUGGUACGCGAGCUGGGUUUAGAACGUCGUGAGACAGUUCGGUCCCUAUCUGCCGUGGGCGCUGGAAAACUGAGGGGGGUUGCUCCUAGUACGAGAGGACCGGAGUGAACGCACCGCUGGUGUUCGGGUUGUUAUGCCAAUGGCACUGCCCGGUAGCUAAGUGCGGAAGAGAUAAGUGCUGAAAGCAUCUAAGCACGAAACUUGCCCCGAGAUGAGUUUUCCCUGACCCCUUGAGGGUCCUGAAGGGACGUUGAAGACGACGACGUUGAUAGGCCGGGUGUGUAAGCGCAGCGAUGCGUUGAGCUAACCGGUACUAAUGACCCGUGAGGCUUAACCUU